rnacentral:rRNA from 1 species
UGAGUAACCUGCCCUUAACUCUGGGAUAAGCCUGGGAAACUGGGUCUAAUACCGGAUAUGACUCCUCAUCGCAUGGUGGGGGGUGGAAAGCUUUUUGUGGUUUUGGAUGGACUCGCGGCCUAUCAGCUUGUUGGUGAGGUAAUGGCUCACCAAGGCGACGACGGGUAGCCGGCCUGAGAGGGUGACCGGCCACACUGGAACUGAGAUACGGUCCAGACUCCUACGGGAGGCAG